AGAUCCUUGUCUAACGAUUUUCUGCUGUUUCCUGAGGCUAGAGGCUUCCUCUGCAGCCUGGUGAAGUUCCUCUUGCUGUUCUAGGACUCCUCUUGCUUCAGCAAGAAUUUUGGGACGAAAAUAGAACUUUAUUUGGAAAGCUAAGCUGGUGCCAUGUAGAAAUGUGGGGAGUUCAGAAGAACUGGAAGGAUUGAUGUGUCAUAAUUGGAUCGAAUCUGUCAGCACAGAGAGAGCAAGUGCAGAAACUGAGGAGUUGUUUCAUCAUUUCUCCCUCUGGUCAGGUCUCCAAUAGCUACUUUUGUGUUCACCAUUGUGUGACUCAGAGUCACAAAGGCUGUGGGUGAGCCAACAGUAUGAGCAGUAUCUCGACAAGAGGAGCAGUUUCUUUCCAAGUCUGUCAGCUGUCUGUCUGUCAACACAUAAUCAUCCAUUUCCUGAGCAGAAGUGCAUCCCAUCAGCUGUGAUACUCUUGACAGGGAUCCUUUUUACUGCAGUUCGAGUGAAGGAGAGAUUCAUCCUGUUCAUGAGCUCCUCCCUCCCUGCGUACACCCGAUGCCUGCUCACCCCCUGCUGCCCACAGAAGUUCCCAGAGAAGCACAGAACACCAAGAGGAGAAAUAAAAGCUGGAGCGGGCUCGCUCCUCUCUCCUGUGGCCGGCAGUGACAGCAGGGACAGGGGAUCCGAGUCCUGCAGGAGGUUGUUUGUUCCCAGGCUUUUUAUAGCCUCUAACUCCAAAUAUAGGUCAUGGAUGCACCAACACACGUUCAUGGACAUAUCACACACAGCCACGCAGCCCAACCCGACCCCUGCCUCUGCCCCACUGAUCCCAUGUCUUCACACAUGAACUAAUUCACACGUAACACGAAAGGGAGCAACUACAAUUUUCUGUCUUUUCUUUUUUAUUGCUGUGUUUUGGCUUUGAUUUGCUGUUGCGCCCACCAGAUCAUGUCUUGGGCCAAAGUCUCCUGCUGGGAAAGGCUGUACAAGCAGAUUGCCUUUGGUUUUUUUAAUUAAAAAGGUAUGAAGGUAAAACCUGAUUUGGAUGAGAAUGAAUUGUGUUUGGUGGCAGGGAGCUGCUUUGAGCAAAACCAAGACAGUUGGAAUCUCCUCCAUAAAGGGUGGAGAGAAGCAGCACAACCACAUAAUGAUUUUCCAGAGCUGGGUAUGUAAAAAAAAAACCAGCUAGAAAUUUUUCCAAUAUAAUAUGAGUUUGGUAACAACCCAGUUGGUGAAACACAGCAGCACAAACCCAAACCUCCCACCAGUGCAGCAGGUCCUCAGCCAGCACUAGGAAUUCAGUUCUGUGACAGGAUAAGGACAGCCCAUGAAAAAAAUCUCUGUUUUAAAAAAUCAUUUGCCCACUUCAUGGGAAAUCCAGCAUGAACUGAACACACCAGAACUGUAACAUUUCCACUUAGCUCCUCCUACCUUCAAUUUGCCAGUGAAGGGAAGCUUAUAGCAAGCCAAGUUCUGCUA